rnacentral:lncRNA from 1 species
CUAACCUGGCAAUGUUCUGUUUUCUCAAUUAUUUAAGGAAUGGUUUCCGUAUUAGAUUUGGGGAUUGCAGACAUGAGCAAGUCAGCAUCUUGUACUCUAGGGCUGUACUUCCGGUUGAGAGGCAGAUGUGUAACAGUUGUGAACAGUAGGAAGUUAUAGAUGCCAUAUUGGGGACAGGAGGUUGAAAGGACCACAGAGGGAGCAUAUCCUCCCUGUGCAGUUGGCUCCAUUUUAUCCCGGUCCAUACCCAGAGGCUAAAGAACUAAGCAAUAGCAUUAAGGCAAGAUGUCUUGAUUGUGUGGCUGAUGAAGGAUGGAGUCUUUGGCUGUCGCUCGGCUUCGCAUGAUCCAUCCCUCUGUAGGAACACCCGUAAUUGUCUAGGUAGCUGCUCUCUGGCCCGCUGCUAAUUUUGCUCUCACCACAAACCAUCACAUGGCCUCUUGUUUCUGUCUUCCACGCAACAGUUCUUUUUGAAAUCCUGAUCUCAUUGUGUUUUAACUUGUUCUUUUCUCAUAAUUUUCUUCUCCUUCAUAAAGGCCAUGUCCUCUUCUAGUCUGCUAAAGCUGUAAAACUUUCCCCCUAGAAUUCUUUUUUGAUUCCUGAAACAUUCUUAGAGGUACACUUUCCUACUCGGCUUCUGGAUGCUACUUUGUUGUUUCCUUUUCUCUUCAGGGUCCUGGAAGCUUGCAUGGCAGAGAAGAAAAUCUGUUCUGACCUCAUAGUUGCCAUCAGGUACAGCAAGGUAUGGCGACAUAUAAGGUCACCAUGCCUCCAAACAAGAAAUCGAGAAGAUGCUUACUGUGUUGGACAUGAGCGAAUAUCUGACGCAGCCAGACAUGGUGAUGCAGUUUUAAUGCCAGCACUUGGGAGGCAGAAGCAAGCAGUGAGUUCGAAGUCAGCUUGGUCUUGUAAGUACUUGUCUCAGAAGCAAACAAACCUGAUAUAAGCUACUUAAGUGUGGACCUGGGUACCAGAGGCUUUCCACGGAGAUCUCUGGUCCCGCCAGGUGCGAGUGUUCCCGUGAAGGGAAGCCUGUGCAGGCAGGGAGGGGAAGUCGCUUCCACCGCUGCUUCUGCGGUUGGCUCCAUCUCCGUCUCUGCCCUGCCUCUAGGUUACUCCGUUACAGCAGUGCGCUGCCCUGUACUGAGUCCGGUAGGGCUAGGUCAACCAGAGGCUGACUAGCCAGUGAGGAGUGCGGCAGAGCGUCAGGCGGCGUUUCGGAAGAGCAGACCUCUUCCCAAGUGUAUGGCUCUUUGGACAGAAGGCUGGGACCCAGGGGUAGUUCUCGCACCCCUAAUCCUCCCAGAUAGGAUUCUUAUAUACAGUUUUGGGGUGGGUAAGGGUCUGACAACAGGCACUUCUCAUUGGUUUGUCUGAGAGCUUUGGGGAAACCUUAUUUGCAUGUGGAAGGAGGUGACUAAUGGCUACAUACAUCUCUGCAGGGGGCUGUGGGAGGCUGUAGCAGUGACAGGAGCCAGGGGCCCAGGAGGCAUGGUCAAACACCUUCUGUCCUAUGCAGGUGGAAAUCACCACCCACUGGGUCACAGGGGUUCCAAACCUUUGUUCGACCAGGGAUCAGGCUGUCUGUGCACAGCCCACCACCUCACACACUCAAUCAGAGUGGGGGUGAAGUUGAGGAGCAACUUUAUUUCAAGGGAAACAGGAAACGGGGGAUAAAGGAGGGGCCAGGAGAAGGGAGAGCCUUGUGGUAGUUUAAGUGAGAAAUGCUCUCCCCUAGCCUCAGGUCCUCAGGGGACCUCAGGUCCUCACUGGGGAACGGGCAGCCUGGUGGGGGCAGUACGCUGCUGGGGGCACUGGGGAUGGGGCAGUCUGGUGGGGGCAGCCUGGUGGGGGUCGGGUGGGCUGAGAGUUUACAGCUUCGCCUCCCAUUGAGUAUGUUGCACUUUUGGGUAAAGAAGUGAACACCCAGCUUCUUGUUCCUGCUACCAUGCCUGCCGGCCACUUGGACUCUCCCUCUAGAACCAGAAGCCAAAAUAAACUUUCUCCAUUGAGUUAUGUUUGCUCAAGAUAUUUGACUACAGCAACAGAAAACUAAUCAAUACAAACCCAUCCCAAGGACACACCCUAAUGACCUGCUUCCUGUAGGCUUCAACCCCCAUGCUUCACCUCCUCCAAAAGAGUCCAUCAAGUAAUGGCUCCUUCAAGAGAUUAAUCCACUGAUUAGAUCAGAACUCUCAGCAUCCAGUCAAACCCAUGAGCUGGCAGCCAAGGCCCUGGUGGUGCCUGAGGUUCUGAAGGAUGUGCCACACUCAUUUUAUUCAGCAUACAAGGUCAAACUAGUACAUGGAGUAUUGAGACAUCGAACCAAGAGGAAUUAAUAAAACCUUGGCAAUGCCAGGGUGGGACCUAUAGCUGUAGUGCUAGCUCAUUGCUUUGUGUAAGCUAUGGGAUCAAAUUGGCUGUCCAAAACAUAACCAAAAGCACGUUGGGGGUGAAAAGGUUUAUUUGGCUUACACUUCCACAUUGCAGUCCAUCCUUGAAGGAAGUCAGGACAGGAACUCAAACAGGGCAGGAACCUGGAGGCAGAAGCUAAUGCAGAGGCUAUUGAGGUGUGUUGACUACUGGUUUGCUCAUCAUGACUUGGUCAUCUUAUUCUCUUACAGAAUCUAGGACCACUAGCCUAGGGAUGACACCACCCACAAUGGUCUGGGACCUCCUACUAAUAAAAAAAAAUGUCCUACAGCUGGAUCUCAUGAAGUCAUUUUCUCAGUUGAGGUUCCCUCUUUUCAGAUGACUCUAGCUUGUGUCAGACUGAUAUAAAACUAGCCAGGUCAGUGACUGUCUUCAUCCAAGUGAAGACAGUGAAGCAGAAAGGCAAAAUGUUGUCUUAGUUAGGGUUUCUAUUGCUGUAAAGAAACACCAUGACCAAGGCAAUUCUUGUAAAGGAACACAAUUGAGCUGGCUUACAGGUUCAGAGGUUUAGUCCAUUAUCAUCAUGGAGGGAAGCAUGGUGACAUGCAGGCAACAUAGCGCUGGAAAGGAGCUAAGAGUUCUACAUCUGGAUCUACAAGCAACAAGAAGAAAACUAGAACUAAGUUUCUCAGACCGCAAAGCCUGACCCUGUAAUAUCCAAAAUGAAUUCAAGACCACCCAGUACCUUCCCCCUUCAAAAAGGACUUUCCAAACUAACUGUACUAGCAGGCCAAGUGCAGAGCCAGAUAAGGAAGCUGGCUGACUAAACAAUUGUAAAAACAUAGUUUUAGCAGUCAAAAUGACUGAGCCUACAAGCUGCCAAAACAAUAUUAGCUGUUCUCAGAGAAAUAACCAUAACAAGAUUAGCAAUUCUUCUACCCCCCCCCCCCCGCCCCACACUGAAUUCUGACAAAGACCACAAACCACCCUGACCUUGUGAGAAUUCCCCUGACUUUAAUAACUGUGACGUUAAUAACUGACCCAUAAGUUCAAAAUGUACUAUUACUUUGCUGACCAAAUCAUAAUAACCCACCAUGGGGGCAAGCAAAGCGACUAGGCCAAAGGGUUACUUAGUCACUAUACAAACCAACCAGUACCUAAAAGGGUUACUUGCUACACCAAUGAAAACCCUGUUGCUCAAAUCUAUCCCUUACAAAGGUAUAAAAACUGUGUACUUUCUUUGUUCUGGGUCUCUUCUCUGGCCUGCAUGCUGAGAGGGGAGUCCCCAACAUGUUGGAAUAAUAAAAAUCCUCAUGCAUUUUGCAGCGAU